AGUGAACGCUGGCGGCAGGCCUAACACAUGCAAGUCGAACGGCAGCAUAGUAAUUACUGGCGGAUAGGUGAGGAGAGUGGCGGAAGGUGCAGGUAGACACCGGAAACCACUGGGAAGCGGGUGAUAACGCAGGGAGAGUUACGCGGGUACCGGAUACAUCGCACUUGGAAAGGCAGGCGUUCUAUUGACUUGUCGCUGAGGAAUAAGCCGAUGUCGGAUAAGUUAGUUGGCGGGGUAAAGGCGCACCAAGGCGACGAUCCGUAGCUGGUCUGAGAGGAUGAUCCGGCACACUGGAACUGAGGCACGGUCCAGACUCCUACGGUGAGCAGCAGUGGGGAAUAUUGGACAAUGGGCGCAAGCCUGAUCCAGCCAUACCGCGUGAGUGAAGAAGGCGUUCGGGUUGUAAAGCCCUUUUGUUGGGAAAGAAAAGCAGCAGGUUAAUACCCCGCUGUUCUGACGGUACCCAAAGAAUAAGCACCGGCUAACUUCGUG
rnacentral:rRNA from 1 species